CCUCCAUGUUUACAUAUUUUGUUAAUUUGAUCUUGAUUCUAAAAAACUAAACAAAAUUAGCCUCAACAUUUACACAUUUACAAAAAUAUUAUAGGCUAAUUUUGUUAAAUCAUGACCAAAUUGAUAGAAUGUGUAAAAUAGGAGA
rnacentral:pre_miRNA from 1 species